rnacentral:rRNA from 1 species
AGUGAACGCUGGCGGUAGGCCUAACACAUGCAAGUCGAACGGCAGCACAGUAAGAGCUUGCUCUUACGGGUGGCGAGUGGCGGACGGGUGAGGAAUACAUCGGAAUCUACUUUUUCGUGGGGGAUAACGUAGGGAAACUUACGCUAAUACCGCAUACGACCUACGGGUGAAAGCAGGGGAUCUUCUGACCUUGCGCGAUUGAAUGAGCCGAUGUCGGAUUAGCUAGUUGGCGGGGGAAAGGCCCACCAAGGCGACGAUCCGUAGCUGGUCUGAGAGGAUGAUCAGCCACACUGGAACUGAGACACGGUCCAGACUCCUACGGGAGGCAGCAGUGGGGAAUAUUGGACAAUGGGCGCAAGCCUGAUCCAGGCAUACCGCGUGAGUGAAGAAGGCCUUCGGGUUGUAAAGCCCUUUUGUUGGGAAAGAAAAGCAGCAGGUUAAUACCCCGCGGUUCUGACGGUACCCAAAGAAUAAGCACCGGCUAACUUCGUG